rnacentral:rRNA from 1 species
AGCGUACACGGUGGAUGCCCUGGCAGUCAGAGGCGAUGAAGGACGUGCUAAUCUGCGAUAAGCGUCGGUAAGGUGAUAUGAACCGUUAUAACCGGCGAUUUCCGAAUGGGGAAACCCAGUGUGAUUCGUCACACUAUCAUUAACUGAAUCCAUAGGUUAAUGAGGCGAACCGGGGGAACUGAAACAUCUAAGUACCCCGAGGAAAAGAAAUCAACCGAGAUUCCCCCAGUAGCGGCGAGCGAACGGGGAGCAGCCCAGAGCCUGAAUCAGUGUGUGUGUUAGUGGAAGCGUCUGGAAAGGCGCGCGAUACAGGGUGACAGCCCCGUACACAAAAAUGCACAUGCUGUGAGCUCGAUGAGUAGGGCGGGACACGUGGUAUCCUGUCUGAAUAUGGGGGGACCAUCCUCCAAGGCUAAAUACUCCUGACUGACCGAUAGUGAACCAGUACCGUGAGGGAAAGGCGAAAAGAACCCCGGCGAGGGGAGUGAAAAAGAACCUGAAACCGUGUACGUACAAGCAGUGGGAGCCUCUUUAUGGGGUGACUGCGUACCUUUUGUAUAAUGGGUCAGCGACUUAUAUUCUGUAGCAAGGUUAACCGAAUAGGGGAGCCGAAGGGAAACCGAGUCUUAACUGGGCGUUAAGUUGCAGGGUAUAGACCCGAAACCCGGUGAUCUAGCCAUGGGCAGGUUGAAGGUUGGGUAACACUAACUGGAGGACCGAACCGACUAAUGUUGAAAAAUUAGCGGAUGACUUGUGGCUGGGGGUGAAAGGCCAAUCAAACCGGGAGAUAGCUGGUUCUCCCCGAAAGCUAUUUAGGUAGCGCCUCGUGAAUUCAUCUCCGGGGGUAGAGCACUGUUUCGGCAAGGGGGUCAUCCCGACUUACCAACCCGAUGCAAACUGCGAAUACCGGAGAAUGUUAUCACGGGAGACACACGGCGGGUGCUAACGUCCGUCGUGAAGAGGGAAACAACCCAGACCGCCAGCUAAGGUCCCAAAGUCAUGGUUAAGUGGGAAACGAUGUGGGAAGGCCCAGACAGCCAGGAUGUUGGCUUAGAAGCAGCCAUCAUUUAAAGAAAGCGUAAUAGCUCACUGGUCGAGUCGGCCUGCGCGGAAGAUGUAACGGGGCUAAACCAUGCACCGAAGCUGCGGCAGCGACGCUUAUGCGUUGUUGGGUAGGGGAGCGUUCUGUAAGCCUGCGAAGGUGUGCUGUGAGGCAUGCUGGAGGUAUCAGAAGUGCGAAUGCUGACAUAAGUAACGAUAAAGCGGGUGAAAAGCCCGCUCGCCGGAAGACCAAGGGUUCCUGUCCAACGUUAAUCGGGGCAGGGUGAGUCGACCCCUAAGGCGAGGCCGAAAGGCGUAGUCGAUGGGAAACAGGUUAAUAUUCCUGUACUUGGUGUUACUGCGAAGGGGGGACGGAGAAGGCUAUGUUGGCCGGGCGACGGUUGUCCCGGUUUAAGCGUGUAGGCUGGUUUUCCAGGCAAAUCCGGAAAAUCAAGGCUGAGGCGUGAUGACGAGGCACUACGGUGCUGAAGCAACAAAUGCCCUGCUUCCAGGAAAAGCCUCUAAGCAUCAGGUAACAUCAAAUCGUACCCCAAACCGACACAGGUGGUCAGGUAGAGAAUACCAAGGCGCUUGAGAGAACUCGGGUGAAGGAACUAGGCAAAAUGGUGCCGUAACUUCGGGAGAAGGCACGCUGAUAUGUAGGUGAAGUCCCUUGCGGAUGGAGCUGAAAUCAGUCGAAGAUACCAGCUGGCUGCAACUGUUUAUUAAAAACACAGCACUGUGCAAACACGAAAGUGGACGUAUACGGUGUGACGCCUGCCCGGUGCCGGAAGGUUAAUUGAUGGGGUUAGCGGUAACGCGAAGCUCUUGAUCGAAGCCCCGGUAAACGGCGGCCGUAACUAUAACGGUCCUAAGGUAGCGAAAUUCCUUGUCGGGUAAGUUCCGACCUGCACGAAUGGCGUAAUGAUGGCCAGGCUGUCUCCACCCGAGACUCAGUGAAAUUGAACUCGCUGUGAAGAUGCAGUGUACCCGCGGCAAGACGGAAAGACCCCGUGAACCUUUACUAUAGCUUGACACUGAACAUUGAGCCUUGAUGUGUAGGAUAGGUGGGAGGCUUUGAAGUGUGGACGCCAGUCUGCAUGGAGCCGACCUUGAAAUACCACCCUUUAAUGUUUGAUGUUCUAACGUUGGCCCCUGAUCGGGGUUGCGGACAGUGUCUGGUGGGUAGUUUGACUGGGGCGGUCUCCUCCUAAAGAGUAACGGAGGAGCACGAAGGUUGGCUAAUCCUGGUCGGACAUCAGGAGGUUAGUGCAAUGGCAUAAGCCAGCUUGACUGCGAGCGUGACGGCGCGAGCAGGUGCGAAAGCAGGUCAUAGUGAUCCGGUGGUUCUGAAUGGAAGGGCCAUCGCUCAACGGAUAAAAGGUACUCCGGGGAUAACAGGCUGAUACCGCCCAAGAGUUCAUAUCGACGGCGGUGUUUGGCACCUCGAUGUCGGCUCAUCACAUCCUGGGGCUGAAGUAGGUCCCAAGGGUAUGGCUGUUCGCCAUUUAAAGUGGUACGCGAGCUGGGUUUAGAACGUCGUGAGACAGUUCGGUCCCUAUCUGCCGUGGGCGCUGGAGAACUGAGGGGGGCUGCUCCUAGUACGAGAGGACCGGAGUGGACGCAUCACUGGUGUUCGGGUUGUCAUGCCAAUGGCACUGCCCGGUAGCUAAAUGCGGAAGAGAUAAGUGCUGAAAGCAUCUAAGCACGAAACUUGCCCCGAGAUGAGUUCU